rnacentral:rRNA from 1 species
UACGUAGGUGGCAAGCGUUAUCCGGAUUUAUUGGGCGUAAAGGGAACGCAGGCGGUCUUUUAAGUCUGAUGUGAAAGCCUUCGGCUUAACCGGAGAAUUGCAUCAGAAACUGUUGAACUUGAGUGCAGAAGAGGAGAGUGGAACUCCAUGUGUAGCGGUGGAAUGCGUAGAUAUAUGGAAGAACACCAGUGGCGAAGGCGGCUCUCUGGUCUGCAACUGACGCUGAGGCUCGAAAGCAUGGGUAGCGAACAGG